rnacentral:pre_miRNA from 1 species
AAAGGGAUAGCUGGGUCAAAUGGUGGUUCCAUUUCCAGAUUUCCAAGGAAUCUCCAUACUUCUUUCCAUAUUGGCGGCACCACUUUGCAGUUCCAUCAGCAAU